rnacentral:rRNA from 1 species
CAAUAGCGUAUAUUAAUGUUGUUGCAGUUAAAAAGCUCGUAGUUGGAUUUGUGGUUCGUCCCGCCGGCUGGGUCAUUGACUUUUGCUGUGCUGGUCGUCCAUCCUUGGGUGGAAUCUGUGUGGCAUUAGGUUGUCGCGCAGGGGAUGCCCAUCGUUUACUGUGAAAAAAUUAGAGUGUUCAAAGCAGGCUUAUGCCGUUGAAUAUAUUAGCAUGGAAUAAUGAUAUAGGACCUUGGUACUAUUUUGUUGGUUUGCGCACUGAGGUAAUGAUUAAUAGGGACAGUUGGGGGUAUUCGUAUUCCAUUGUAAGAGGUGAAAUUCUUGGAUUUUUGGAAGACGAACUACUGCGAAAGCAUUUACCAAGGAUGUUUUCAUUAA